UACGAAGGGGGGCUAGCGUUGCUCGGAAUCACUGGGCGUAAAGGGUGCGUAGGCGGGUUUUUAAGUCAGAGGUGAAAUCCUGGAGCUCAACUCCAGAACUGCCUUUGAUACUGGGAAUCUUGAGUAUGGAAGAGGUGAGUGGAACUGCGAGUGUAGAGGUGAAAUUCGUAGAUAUUCGCAGGAACACCAGUGGCGAAGGCGGCUCACUGGUCCGAUACUGACGCUGAGGUGCGAAAGCGUGGGGAGCAAACAGG
rnacentral:rRNA from 1 species